UACGUAGGGGGCUAGCGUUGUCCGGAAUUAUUGGGCGUAAAGAGCGUGUAGGCGGUCCGGUAAGUCGGCUGUGAAAGUCCAGGGCUCAACCCUGGGAUGCCGGUCGAUACUGCCGGACUAGAGUUCGGAAGAGGCGAGUGGAAUUCCUGGUGUAGCGGUGAAAUGCGCAGAUAUCAGGAGGAACACCGGUGGCGAAGGCGGCAUCCUGGACCAACACUGACACUGAGGAGCGAAAGCCAGGGGAGCAAACGGG
rnacentral:rRNA from 1 species